rnacentral:lncRNA from 1 species
AGAAUAUGACGAACUUACAAAAUUGAGGCGUUAAAUUACAUUGUGAAAAAUCCUAAGUGAAAAUGUUAAUAUCUAUAACACACAAAGGUCUAACAUAUUGUAGACAAAAAACUGUUCACACAUAUACCUGACUAGCUUGUUUUAUUGAUGUCAACUCUAGAGUUUUAUUGGUGAACUUGUACAGCCAGCAAAAGAUUCUCAUAAGAUAUUGACCAUUCAAAGAAAAUUCAAAUAAGGUUAAGAGUAUGAUUGCAUACUUCUUUCCUCACUUGCCAUGUACAUUUUUGGCAAUGUGACUUUUCUACUAUUAACCUAUAUAUAAUUCUUGAAUAACAACAAAAUCUUAUGUUAAUUAAAACAUUAAUCAAUUGAGACUAUUUUAUAACUUGCUAAAUGGUUGAUGGAAGUACAGGUUAAGUAGUUAUACAAUUAAGGGUAUAAUAAGACUGGAACUGAGGGUUUUAAAAAAGGCAAAACUAUAUAGAUAACUGGUAGGAUUAGUUGUAAUAAUGAUAAAAUACAAAAGAGAACAGAAGUGAUGGGAGUAGGGGCAGAAUAAAACAGAAGAUAAAUUAUGGGUAAUGCUCUUUCUCUUGCCUUUCUCCUUUUUCUCAUUAUUUAUUUAAAGAAACAAAGGAAUCCAUAUUGUCCAAACACUUGCAGACAAAGUAGUUUCAGAGGAGAAAAGCAACCGUUGCUUUGCGACCGAUCAAAAAGAAAGAGAGAAAAUUUUCAAAUUAACCACAUAAGAGAGAAACCUUAGGAAAUUUCAUAGUUACUCAUGAUAUUGAAUUUAAUUUUUAUGUAUCGAGUGUAUAGAUUGUUUUAAUUAUUUAGAUUAAGUUGAUCUACAAUUACAUAUAAUUAUUUAUAUCAAACUAAUGUUAUAAAGUACUUUCAUAGGAAAAAUGAUAUUGUACAGCCGCUUUCCUUAUAAUAUUUAAAUUUUUCUGUAUGUUACAUACAAAAAAUAUAUAAACUUUUACACUUUCAUAAUUAUCAGAUUAAUUUUGACCACGAGCUAAAAGUGAUCUGUUUAUCCAUUUGAUACCAAGAUAAUCUACUAUAGCCGGUUAAAUUGUAGAGAUCGUUUAAAAUAUUACGCUACUUAUGUAGUAUAUAACUUAAUUUCACUUUUUUUUAAUGAAAGAUUAUAUCUCUUUGUCGACCUAAUUACUUUACACUAUCAUAUUGUAGAGGACAAGAGGGGUUGCUAUGAUGGUAAGCAACCCGCACUUCCAACCGAGAGGUUGUGAGUUCGAGUCUCCCC